GAGUUUGAUCCUGGCUCAGGAUGAACGCUGGCGGCGUGCUUAACACAUGCAAGUUGAACGAACCUUCGGGUUAGUGGCGGACGGGUGAGUAACGCGUGGGAAUCUGCCCUCAGGAGGGGGAUAACGGUUGGAAACGACCGCUAAUACCCCAUAUGCCGAGAGGUGAAAUGAAUUUCGCCUGAGGAUGAGCCCGCGUCUGAUUAGCUUGUUGGUGAGGUAAUGGCUCACCAAGGCAUCGAUCAGUAGCUGGUCUGAGAGGAUGAUCAGCCACACUGGGACUGAGACACGGCCCAGACUCCUACGGGAGGCAGCAGUGGGGAAUUUUCCGCAAUGGGCGAAAGCCUGACGGAGCAACGCCGCGUGAGGGACGAAGGCCUCUGGGCUGUAAACCUCUUUUCUCAAGGAAGAAGAUAUGACGGUACUUGAGGAAUAAGCCACGGCUAAUUCCGUGCCAGCAGCCGCGGUAAUACGGGAGUGGCAAGCGUUAUCCGGAAUUAUUGGGCGUAAAGCGUCCGCAGGCGGCCUUUCAAGUCUGCUGUUAAAACGUGGAGCUUAACUCCAUCAUGGCAGUGGAAACUGAUUGGCUUGAGUAUGGUAGGGGCAGAGGGAAUUCCCGGUGUAGCGGUGAAAUGCGUAGAUAUCGGGAAGAACACCAGUGGCGAAGGCGCUCUGCUGGGCCAUUACUGACGCUCAUGGACGAAAGCCAGGGGAGCGAAAGGGAUUAGAUACCCCUGUAGUCCUGGCCGUAAACGAUGAACACUAGGUGUCGGGGGAAUCGACCCCUUCGGUGUCGUAGCUAACGCGUUAAGUGUUCCGCCUGGGGAGUACGCACGCAAGUGUGAAACUCAAAGGAAUUGACGGGGGCCCGCACAAGCGGUGGAGUAUGUGGUUUAAUUCGAUGCAACGCGAAGAACCUUACCAGGGCUUGACAUCCUGCGAACCUUUAAGAAAUUAGAGGGUGCCUUCGGGAACGCAGUGACAGGUGGUGCAUGGCUGUCGUCAGCUCGUGUCGUGAGAUGUUGGGUUAAGUCCCGCAACGAGCGCAACCCACGUUUUUAGUUGCCAGCAUUUAGUUGGGCACUCUAGAAAGACCGCCGGUGAUAAACCGGAGGAAGGUGUGGAUGACGUCAAGUCAUCAUGCCCCUUACGUCCUGGGCUACACACGUACUACAAUGCUACGGACAAAGGGCAGCAAACUCGCGAGAGCUAGCAAAUCCCAUAAACCGUGGCUCAGUUCAGAUCGUAGGCUGCAACUCGCCUACGUGAAGUAGGAAUCGCUAGUAAUCGCAGGUCAGCAUACUGCGGUGAAUACGUUCCCGGGCCUUGUACGCACCGCCCGUCACACCAUGGAAGUUGGCCACGCCCGAAGUCGUUACUUUAACCCUUGUGGAGAAGGACGCCGAAGGUGGGGCUGAUGACUGGGGUGAAGUCGUAACAAGGUAACC
rnacentral:rRNA from 1 species